rnacentral:tRNA from 1 species
GCGCCCGUAGCUCAGGGGACAGAGCAGCUGGCUUCGAACCAGCGGGCCGGGAGUUCAAAUCUCUCCGGGCGCA